AGGUUGCGAGAAUGUGACGUCAAUUGAAAAAUCGAAACGUGAUUGGCUGUUGAGUCGACUUGGUGGGUGAGGCUCGACGGAACGUUAUUUUGACCCCAGUAUUGGCAUAGUUGUGGUGUACAACGUUAAGUGAAUGAGGUAAUGGUGGGAAGACGAGGCAUCGCGUGAAAUGAGCCGACUGGUGAUUUAGGAAGGUGGAGGAGAGACUAAGGUUGUGGUGGACCGAUGAAUCAAGUCGGUGGCGAGCAGAAGGUGGUGGCAGAUGUCCCGGUUUGGCAAGAUGUGCUGCGUGAGUUAGCAUCUAUGAUGGCGGUAU